UGGGGAAUAUUGGACAAUGGGCGCAAGCCUGAUCCAGCCAUGCCGCGUGGGUGAAGAAGGCCUUCGGGUUGUAAAGCCCUUUUGUUGGGAAAGAAAUCCUGUCGGUUAAUACCUGGCGGGGAUGACGGUACCCAAAGAAUAAGCACCGGCUAACUUCGUGCCAGCAGCCGCGGUAAUACGAAGGGUGCAAGCGUUACUCGGAAUUACUGGGCGUAAAGCGUGCGUAGGCGGUUCGUUAAGUCUGUCGUGAAAGCCCUGGGCUCAACCUGGGAAUUGCGAUGGAUACUGGCGAGCUAGAGUACGGUAGAGGAUGGUGGAAUUCCCGGUGUAGCGGUGAAAUGCGUAGAGAUCGGGAGGAACACCCGUGGCGAAGGCGGCCAUCUGGACCAGUACUGACGCUGAGGCACGAAAGCGUGGGGAGCAAACA
rnacentral:rRNA from 1 species